UCAGAGGGAGGUAGAAUNCCACGUGUAGCAGUGAAAUGCGUAGAGAUGUGGAGGAAUACCGAUGGCGAAGGCAGCCUCCUGGGAUAACACUGACGUUCAUGCCCGAAAGCGUGGGUAGCAAACAGGAUUAGAUACCNUGGUAGUCCACGCCCUAAACGAUGUCGAUUAGCUGUUGGGCAGCAUGACUGCUUAGUAGCGAAGCUAACGCGUGAAAUCGACCGCCUGGGGAGUACGGUCGCAAGAUUAAAACUCAAAGGAAUUGACGGGGACCCGCACAAGCGGUGGAUGAUGUGGAUUAAUUCGAUGCAACGCGAAGAACCUUACCUGGUCUUGACAUGUACGGAACCCUCCAGAGACGGAGGGGUGCCUUCGGGAGCCGUAACACAGGUGCUGCAUGGCUGUCGUCAGCUCGUGUCGUGAGAUGUUGGGUUAAGUCCCGCAACGAGCGCAACCCUUGUCAUUAGUUGCCAUCAUUAAGUUGGGCACUCUAAUGAGACUGCCGGUGACAAGCCGGAGGAAGGUGGGGAUGACGUCAAGUCCUCAUGGCCCUUAUGACCAGGGCUUCACACGUCAUACAAUGGUCGGUACAGAGGGUAGCCAAGCCGCGUGGUGGAGCCAAUCUCACAAAACCGAUCGUAGUCCGGAUUGCACUCUGCAACUCGAGUGCAUGAAGUCGGAAUCGCUAGUAAUCGCAGGUCAGCAUACUGCGGUGAAUACGUUCCCGGGUCUUGUACACACCGCCCGUCACACCAUGGGAGUGGGGGAUACCAGA
rnacentral:rRNA from 1 species